AGUGAACGCUGGCGGCGUGCUUAACACAUGCAAGUCGAACGAGAACGGAUUAUAGCUUGCUAUAAUUGUCAGCUAAGUGGCGCACGGGUGAGUAAUGUAUAGGUAAUAUGCCUCUUACUAAGGGAUAACAAAUGGAAACGUUUGCUAAUACCUUAUACUCCUUAUUAACAGAAGUUAAUAAGGGAAAGAUUUAUUGGUAAGAGAUUAGCCUGUAUUGUAUCAGUUAGUUGGUGGGGUAAUGGCUUACCAAGACUAUGACACAUAACUGGUUUGAGAGGAUGAUCAGUCACACUGGAACUGAGACACGGUCCAGACUCCUACGGGAGGCAGCAGUGGGGAAUAUUGCACAAUGGACGGAAGUCUGAUGCAGCAACGCCGCGUGGAGGAUGACACAUUUCGGUGCGUAAACUCCUUUUAUAUGAGAAGAUAAUGACGGUAUUAUAUGAAUAAGCACCGGCUAACUCCGUGCCAGCCGCCGCUGUAACAC
rnacentral:rRNA from 1 species